CUAAAUUAAAAUGGAUUAAUAAAAUUACCAAAAGCCCAAAGUUAUGGGCUUGAAGAAUAGGCCCUUUUCCCUUUCUUUUUUUUUGCUUCUGAUUGGGCCUUAGUGGGCUGCUAAGGACUGGGCCGAAUCUGCUGGGCUGCUGGCACCGGUCUUCUGGGCUGCUGGAAGCGUGGGCCUGCUGCUGGAUUGGGCUGAACAGGCCUGCUGUGGCCUGCUUCUUUUCUUCUUCUUUUUUUCUGCUGUUAUUUUUCUGUUUUGUUUUUUUUGGGCUGCUUUGGGCUUGGGACUGCUGCUACUGGGUCGGGUCGGUUCACCGGGUCGUGGGUCGGGUCGCGGGUUGAAUCCGUGUCGGGUCGACCCGAUAUAUAUUAUUAUUUUUUAUUUUUCUUUAUCUUUUUUUUCCUUCUUUCUUCUCUGUUUCUUCUUUCUUUCUUCUUUUCUUUUUUUCUUUCUUCACCGUUCAGCCCCGACGGUGCACCCCCCAGCCUGGCGCGGCGGUCAGCGGUGGCGCACGGUGAAGCUCUCCUCUUCUCUUCUCUUUUUCUUCUUUGCUUGUUUUUUUUUCUUUUUGCUUGCUGUUUUUUUCUUUGACUUUGCUUUUUUUAUUUAUUUAUUGGCUUUCUUUGUCUUUGGUGGAUGGGGGAACGACGGCCGGUGGUGAGGGACGGCGGUGGACGCGGAGGCGUGGGGCUUUUUGCUGCUGUUUUUUUGCUUGAUUUUGUUGUUUUUUUUUUUUGCUUUCCUUGGCUGCCGAAAAUCGAACCCCCCCUCUCUUCCUCUCAUCUUCUUCUUUUAAAUCCUUCAAUUUUGUCGUUUUCCUUCUUGUUUUCAGGUGGCAUGGAGGUGGGGAGCAUGGAUGAUUGGCGGUGUCAGGCGUAGGGUGCGGUGCACGCCCGGAUGCUGGUUGGGGGCAGUCUUGUCAUGCCCAGAAGGACUGAAUUGUAGAGUAUGCAAAGUUUUGGGGUAAAAACGUAAUUUUAGGAAAUAUGGGGCUAAUAUGUAAUUUAUAGAAAGUUUAGGGGCCCAAAUGAAAUUUAGAAAAUUUUAGGAGUAGAAAUGUAAUUUUGAGAAAGUUUAAGGGUUGAAAUGUAAUUUUGAAAAGUUCAGGGGUUGAGAUGUAAUUUAGAAAAGUUCAGGGGCCAAAAUGUAAUUUAUAUUUUUGUAUUUUUCCAAAAUUUCAUUAUGACUAUUUUAUUAAUAUUUAAAACAAAAAUUUAAAAUGGGCUAAAACAAUUCCAAAAUUAAAUCUUAAUGGGCCCGAUCAUUGGGCCCAUACGAGAUCAACCCGGCUCAAAACCCUAAUCGGGCAAAAUUCAGU
rnacentral:lncRNA from 1 species